AUACGUAGGUGGCAAGCGUUGUCCGGAAUUAUUGGGCGUAAAGCGCGCGCAGGUGGUUCCUUAAGUCUGAUGUGAAAGCCCCCGGCUCAACCGGGGAGGGUCGUUGGAAACUGGGGAACUUGAGUGCAGAAGAGGAUAGUGGAAUUCCAAGUGUAGCGGUGAAAUGCGUAGAGAUUUGGAGGAACACCAGUGGCGAAGGCGACUGUCUGGUCUGUAACUGACACUGAGGCGCGAAAGCGUGGGGAGCAAACAGGAUUAGAUACCCUGGUAGUCCACGCCGUAAACGAUGAGUGCUAAGUGUUGGGGGGUUUCCGCCCCUCAGUGCUGCAGCUAACGCAUUAAGCACUCCGCCUGGGGAGUACGGUCGCAAGACUGAAACUCAAAUGAAUUGGCGGGG
rnacentral:rRNA from 1 species